UUCUUUGAUGCCUGGCCAAGAAUUCAGUUCUCUGUCAACAAAUGGAGGUAAUAUCUCACUGGACUACUUUGGUUCUAAUGCCAUUCCUUCUUUGAUAACCAAGGGCACCAGUGAUGUUUUGGGGGGAAGUCAUUGAUAAGAUGUGACCACUGGUUGACCUUCACACUGGAUCCAGGCAAUUGUGCAUGCUACAUGAAGUUAUAUGUAAGUGGGACCAAAAUGUAAAUGCAUUACUAAAUGUGGGAACGUCAAGCUUCAAUUUACCAAGAAUUCAAGAGAUCAUCAUCAUCAUCAUCAAUAAUAUUGAACUUUUUCAAUAAGAUGAUAAGAAAUUUUCUGAUUUCCUGCAUGGGGAAUGAAAAGCUGUAGCAUCAGGCACUCCUCAGGAUGCUUUGAGAGAAAAAAAUGGAAUUUUGGAAACAGUAAUGCAGGAAGCAUCGGAUAUAAUGGGCAAGUUUUUCUUGUGAGUAAUUGCCAACUCCGAGACUUAGGACACAAUGGACAUACUGAUAAGAUCAAAAGUAGAACCUAUAAGAGUAUCUAAAAAAAUCUCGUAACUAGAAAUGGAUCUAUAUGUCUACAAAGGAAUGGGCUGAGACUCUUGAAACUUAUUUCCUAGGAAACUCAAUAGACUCAUCCUAAUAGCCUAACAUCAAGUCUGAAUUGGAUCAAAAAGAAUUGCCAAUAAAUUAACUGUAUGCUAGAACGAAACUCAACAUUCAUUAGAAAAAUUACAGAAUUGGGAGUCUCCCUAAUAUAUUAUCUACAAUAUCUAGAGUGUGGUUAAAAGUUACUAGAUAUGCAAACAAGUAAAAAUAUGUGGUGCAUAACACAGAGAUAAAAUGAUCAAUAACGUCUGAUCCACAGAUUACCCAGAUGUUGGAAUUAGCAAAUAAAGACUCUUAUAUGACGGUUUUAGGAGGUGGAGAAUCUACAGGUAAAGAUGGAUAUGAUAACUGAAGAUUUAGAGAAUUCAGAGGAGACAAGGAAAUUCUAAAAAGAAAAAAAAAACAGUGAUUAUAGAAAUAAAAAGCACACAAUCUCUAAAAUUAAAAAUGCAUUGGAUGGUACCAACAACACAUGGAACAUUCCAGAAGAAAGGGUCAGUAAACAUGAGAUCAAAUAAAAUUUUUGCAAGCUGGAACUCAAGAAGAUUUUAAUUUUAAAAGAGCUUCACAGACAUGUGUGGCAAUAUCAAGUAGUUUGCCAUUUGUAUAAUUGGAGAUCCAGAUGGAGAAAAGGAAUGUUAUGGGACAGAAAUGUUCGUGAAAUAAUAAUUGAAUUUUUUUUCUAAAUUUAGAUGAAAACAUUAGGUCAACAACAAAGAAAAAACAAUACAACCUAAGAAUAAUAAUUUCAAGUAAAUUACAUCAUAGUCAAACUGGUAAAACUCAAAGUUAAGGAAAACAACUACAAUUCAAAAGGCACAUUACAUAAAGAAAACUAAGAAU